rnacentral:rRNA from 1 species
UACGUAGGGUGCAAGCGUUAAUCGGAAUUACUGGGCGUAAAGCGUGCGCAGGCGGUUAUGUAAGACAGGUGUGAAAUCCCCGGGCUUAACCUGGGAACUGCAUUUGUGACUGCAUAGCUAGAGUACGGUAGAGGGGGAUGGAAUUCCGCGUGUAGCAGUGAAAUGCGUAGAGAUGUGGAGGAACACCGAUGGCGAAGGCAGCCCCCUGGGCUAACACUGACGCUCAUGCACGAAAGCGUGGGGAGCAAACAGG